rnacentral:lncRNA from 1 species
UAAUCAUGGUUUCCUGCAACAACAUCAACAAUUUCCUCCUAGAAAUUCUCUUAUAUGUACUUAAAAUAAUUAUUUGAUGAGGUUAUAUGUAUGGCCAAAGUCAAUGACCAGUCUCGGUCAGCAUCAGCAUCAUCUAUACUAAUAUACUCAUAAGCAGGUUGUUACACAUCCUUCUCUAUGGUUCAUCUUCCUCUCACCACCAACAUUCCAUGAAACUCAUCUGUCUCUCUAUUAAUUCUUCUGCUUAUCAAAAAC